AACCAAUCAUGAUGAAGGAGGCGGGACAAACAGGCUGCCGUCUGUUCUGACAGUGGAGCUCUCCCAACACCGAAACAGACAGAAAAAAAAUCACACCACUACGCAAAUCCUUCCAAUGGAGGAGGGCCAGGACGUUGAAGCUUGUUCGGCAAAUGAAAAAAACGUCUGCAAGCUAGCUACCUAGCUCAAGUAAAGGGAGAGGAAACAAAAGUUAUUCUUGUGCAGUGAAAUUGUGGACCCUUCUUUCUCUUUCCAGUUCCAGCCUCUGCUCUAUGGCCUUAAGAACAAGGCAGAGGCGGGUGGGACCCAGAAUGGCAUAGGAACGCUGCACAUUGUUCCAGGGCUUCCUCUUCCACAUUCCUGGAUUGAUAGAGAUCUGGGCCUCCUGUGCAGGGGUAUUGUUCUAACUCAGCAGCACCACAGACCUGGCCCCAGCAAACCACAGCUGCCUCCACUGACCAUUGUGGUGCUCAGGCCGAGUGAUGGCUAUCUUAGCCUCAUCUGUCAUCCCUCUCCCUCUCUCUGACUCAUUUAGUGAUUCUUACCAGGAUCUGCUGCCUCAGCCUCUCUGCAUCUCUGCUCAGGACCCAGUCUUGCACUAUCUAAACAAAUAUCCCAUCCUGCAAAUUAAAUCUAAAUUUUUCCUC